GGAUUAGAUACCCUGGUAGUCUAUGCCGUAAACGAUGGGUACUAGUCGGUGCGGGUAUUGACCCCUGCGCUGACGAAGCUAACGCAUUAAGUACCCCGCCUGGGGAGUACGGCCGCAAGGCUAAAACUCAAAGGAAUUGACGGGGGCCCGCACAAGCGGUGGAGCAUGUGGAUUAAUUCGACGCAACGCGCAGAACCUUACCUAGCCUUGACAUGUUAGCGUAUGGUCCCCAAAAGGACCGGACCUUCGGGAACGCUUACACAGGUGCUGCAUGGCUGUCGUCAGCUCGUGCCG
rnacentral:rRNA from 1 species